rnacentral:rRNA from 1 species
AGGCGAGGCCGAAAGGCGUAGUCGAUGGGAAACAGGUUAAUAUUCCUGUACUUGGUGUUACUGCGAAGGGGGGACGGAGAAGGCUAUGUUGGCCGGGCGACGGUUGUCCCGGUUUAAGCGUGUAGGCUGGUUUUCCAGGCAAAUCCGGAAAAUCAAGGCUGAGGCGUGAUGACGAGGCACUACGGUGCUGAAGCAACAAAUGCCCUGCUUCCAGGAAAAGCCUCUAAGCAUCAGGUAACAUCAAAUCGUACCCCAAACCGACACAGGUGGUCAGGUAGAGAAUACCAAGGCGCUUGAGAGAACUCGGGUGAAGGAACUAGGCAAAAUGGUGCCGUAACUUCGGGAGAA